UUUCCUAAACUAUGGACUGGAACCAUAUAAAAAGAUCUCAUAUCCCAGUGCUCCUCAUUCACUCGUCUUCACUCCUUUGCAUUUGUCCUUGCUGCUGAAGAGGCUUUGCCCACACGACAGAAGAUGUGCUCCCGCAGACCUUGCCACGAGCGUGAAACCUCCUGCCACGAAUCACGACCCUCAUGCCACAGUUCUGGGUCUCGCUGCCAUGAGUCCAGACCUUCCUGCCACAUCUCUGUGGUAGAGAGGCCAGCCUACUGUCAAUGG